rnacentral:rRNA from 1 species
UACGAAGGGGGCUAGCGUUGCUCGGAAUCACUGGGCGUAAAGCGCACGUAGGCGGCUUUUAAGUCAGGGGUGAAAUCCUGGAGCUCAACUCCAGAACUGCCUUUGAUACUGAGAAGCUUGAGUCCGGGAGAGGUGAGUGGAACUGCGAGUGUAGAGGUGAAAUUCGUAGAUAUUCGCAAGAACACCAAUGGCGAAGGCAGCUCGCUGGAACGGUACUGACGCUGAGGCGCGAAAGCGUGGGGAGCGAACAGG